CAGCAGCGCGGUAAUACGAAGGGUGCAAGCGUUAAUCGGAAUUACUGGGCGUAAAGCGCACGCAGGCGGUUUGUUAAGUCAGAUGUGAAAUCCCCGAGCUUAACUUGGGAACUGCAUUUGAAACUGGCAAGCUAGAGUCUUGUAGAGGGGGGUAGAAUUCCAGGUGUAGCGGUGAAAUGCGUAGAGAUCUGGAGGAAUACCGGUGGCGAAGGCGGCCCCCUGGACAAAGACUGACGCUCAGGUGCGUAAGCGUGGGGAGCAAACAGGAUUAGAUACCCGCGUAGUCCCUGUCUCUUAUACA
rnacentral:rRNA from 1 species